ensembl:lncRNA
GUCCCUUAGUCCUUCCAAGGGAGGUUCUCACAAUACCUGACGGAUGUGAAAGACUUGACUUCUAGACCUGUGUCUGAAGGCCUAGGUUUGCAGUCUGCAGAGCUAUCUACAGGGCUGGUGGGAGACCCCUGAAAAGAAACCGGAGAAGCUUGCUGACAAAAGACUGGAAUUCUGGUAUCUCUUUUGUUUUCACCCAAGUCUGUGGCCACUGACAUUCCUCUUUUCCACCACGGGUGGAUAAUAAGCCCCCUUCUCAGGAAUCGAAAUGCUCUUAUACAUUUUAAUGUGACCUUAGACAGCGCUGUUCAGAAAUCACAGGCCCAUCUGACUACACUUGAGGUUGAAUUGAGCUAAUGGUAUUCACCUCAUCUUUAGAUGCAAAAUUGGAAGAUAAAAAGACCUUGAUGUGAAAAGCAGGGGGGGAUGUGAGGGAGGGGAGGUGGACGGGUUGCGGGGGGCAGGAGGGGGGAAGCAGAUUAGAGAUACUGCUUAAAAAUCACGUGAUUGUGCGUUGAUAACGAAAUGUCUCCUCUUUCCCAAAUCCCCCAUGGGCUGGAGAGAUGUCCUUAUUCUUUUAUUUUUAACGAUAGAAUCUUUUUAUUCCUGAGCUGGGGAAAUUUGAAUGUUGCUGCAUAUGUGGCCAGGAGAUACAUUGACCUUUAGCAAAUCUUAUUUUAAAAAACCCAGAUUGAACAGUUAUUGCAAUAUUUCAGCCCUGUAAGAUGAAAAGAGAGAGAGAGAGAGAGAGAGGAGAGGAGAGAGAGCGCGCCUUCUUCCUCUGUAAUCAGAUGUGGAUUAAAUUUAUUAAAGAUGCUGUGUCUCCUUUUAAAUGACUGGCAACCCUCUUUCUGAAUUAUCAGGAGCUGGCUGGAGACAUGGCACCCUUCUGAUUUCAUCUUAAGAUGACAGAGAAAAGUCUAAAAUGGGAGAAAACUUGGUUCCUCUCUGUUGCUCUUUGGCUCAAACUUGGUUUUCAUCCAUUAAGCCAAAUGCAUUCAGGGCCCCAUGGUGAGGCCCAGAAGGGGAUGAGGGUAAAUGGGAGGGUGGGGGCACAGGGUGUGGUCAGAUCAGCUUCCCAGGAAAGAAGCUGGGAGGGAGCCCCUGCAGCUCACAUAAAAUGCGCAACCCCUAGAGACAGGCUCAUUUCCAGCUUUGACGUGCCUGCUGUCUGUCAAGGGCCCAGUGAAUGCUUCCCACCCGCAGGGCUCAGCCGCCUCCAGGACCCAGGGGCCCAUUGGGCAAUCCAUCACGGAGCACACCUGGCCUGCCCAAAGGACACAGCAGGCAGUGGGAGUCCAGAAAUGAACCAGACCCAUCCCUGGCCAUGGAGGAACACCCAACCUAACUGGAGAGACAAAGGUGGAGAAGGAGAGAGGACUGGAGUGAAGAAGUUCCUGCUCCUCCCUCCCAGCGCUUCCAUUUCCAUUUCUUCAUCUGCAAAGUGGCAUGGUGUCGACUACCUCUAAUCAAGAUUGAACAAGACAACAGCUGGAAAUGUGCCUUGUAAAUGAUAAUGUUUUAUGCAAAUGUCUAUUAGUAUUCUUAGUCCAUUCAUUCGUUCAUUUUAGAUUUGUUGAGCACCUACUCUAUGCCAGGCCUUUCUCAGACCCUGGGGAUAAGGAGGGGAAUAGGACAUGCCUCCCCUUCCCAGUAGUCUGCAUUCUGGCUGGCACGCUACAUUUUGCUGGACAUCCUAGGGUGUGAGUGUGCGAGUGUGACACUUCAAAUUGUCUUUGGCAGUUGAGGAGAUCACACGUGGUGAGUUUAACAAGCACAUGUCAUGCAGUACCUGCCUUAGUUUCUGGGAUUUAGAGCAAAUAACCAUUUCUGGAAAAUGUUUUGUCCUUAGGAGGUAGCUCUAGUCUCCUGGAGACACCCCAGAAUGGGUUUGCUGAUGUGUGGGUGAGAAUAAGAAUCACCAUCAUCAAGACAAGAAACAGGAGCUCAUGCAGGCGGAGGGCUUAACAUGCCCCUGUCUCGGAGGAGCAAUCUGAGGUCCUGGAUUCCCUACCAGCUGCAGGGAACCUCACCACCACAGCCACCUCUUACUCUCCCAGGGGAGCCCACAAGUCUACUUUUACUGGAACUUGGAACUAAGGGUUGCCAAGGUGAAUGUCUACCUCAAGGUCUCAUAGCACAUAUGUGGCCCAGUGGCCAUGGCUCCAUGGAGCCCAGUUGAACAAGCCUGUCCCAACCAGAAUUGAUUCCUGCACCAGCAUGUCGCCUGUUUCUGAGCCUAGGCCUCAUGGCGACAGUCAAGGGUGGUCAGGGUUAGGAGCGUGAGUUUGCAGCCAGACUGACAUGGG